AUUGAACGCUGGCGGCAUGAUUUACACAUGCAAGUCGAACGGUAACAGGCCGCAAGGUGCUGACGAGUGGCGAACGGGUGAGUAAUGCAUCGGAACGUGCCCAGUCGUGGGGGAUAACUACUCGAAAGAGUAGCUAAUACCGCAUACGAUCUAUGGAUGAAAGCGGGGGACCGUAAGGCCUCGCGCGAUUGGAGCGGCCGAUGUCAGAUUAGGUAGUUGGUGGGGUAAAGGCUCACCAAGCCAACGAUCUGUAGCUGGUCUGAGAGGACGACCAGCCACACUGGGACUGAGACACGGCCCAGACUCCUACGGGAGGCAGGAGUGGGGAAUUUUGGACAAUGGGCGCAAGCCUGAUCCAGCAAUGCCGCGUGCAGGAAGAAGGCCUUCGGGUUGUAAACUGCUUUUGUACGGAACGAAACGGCUCUGGUUAAUACCCGGGGCUAAUGACGGUACCGGAAGAAUAAGCACCGGCUAACUACGUG
rnacentral:rRNA from 1 species